UAACGAGACGAAACCCUUGUCUUCAGUUGCCAGCGGGUAAAGCCGGGGACUCUGGAGAGACUGCCGGUGUUAAACCGGAGGAAGGUGGGGAUGACGUCAAGUCCUCAUGGCCCUUAUGCCCAGGGCUGCACACGUGCUACAAUGGCGUAUACAAAGCGACGCGAGACCGCAAGGUGGAGCAAAUCGCAUAAAGUACGCCCCAGUUCGGAUUGUGGUCUGCAACUCGACCACAUGAAGUUGGAAUCGCUAGUAAUCGCGCAUCAGCUACGGCGCGGUGAAUGUGUUCCUGAGCCUU
rnacentral:rRNA from 1 species